rnacentral:rRNA from 1 species
CCUACGGGAGGCUGCAGUGGGGAAUCUUGCGCAAUGGACGAAAGUCUGACGCAGCAACGCCGCGUGAGUGAAGAAGGCCUUAGGGUUGUAAAGCUCUGUCGAGCGGGACGAAAAUGCUUGGUGUUAACAGCAUCAGGAACUGACGGUACCGCUAAAGGAAGCACCGGCUAACUCUGUGCCAGCAGCCGCGGUAAUACAGAGGGUGCAAGCGUUGCUCGGAAUCAUUGGGCGUAAAGGGUAGGUAGGUGGUCUCAUUUGUCAGGGGUGAAAUCCUU